rnacentral:rRNA from 1 species
GAUGAACGCUGGCGGCGUGCCUAAUACAUGCAAGUCGAGCGAACAGAUGAGGAGCUUGCUCCUCUGAUGUUAGCGGCGGACGGGUGAGUAACACGUGGAUAACCUACCUAUAAGACUGGGAUAACUUCGGGAAACCGGAGCUAAUACCGGAUAAUAUAUUGAACCGCAUGGUUCAAUAGUGAAAGACGGUUUUGCUGUCACUUAUAGACGGAUCCGCGCCGCAUUAGCUAGUUGGUAAGGUAACGGCUUACCAAGGCAACGAUGCGUAGCCGACCUGAGAGGGUGAUCGGCCACACUGGAACUGAGACACGGUCCAGACUCCUACGGGAGGCAGCAGUAGGGAAUCUUCCGCAAUGGGCGAAAGCCUGACGGAGCAACGCCGCGUGAGUGAUGAAGGUCUUCGGAUCGUAAAACUCUGUUAUUAGGGAAGAACAAAUGUGUAAGUAACUAUGCACGUCUUGACGGUACCUAAUCAGAAAGCCACGGCUAACUUCGUG